UCUGAAUCUAGCAAAACACGUGGUCUGUCAACCCUGCUUUCCCAGGACUACCCUUAGAUUUACUUUUAUUUUAAAAAACCCUAAUAUUAUCAUUAUUGGUUUUCAAAAUGAAGUUUCCAAAGCUUGUGAAAAUGACUUUGCAGUCAUGUCUGCUUCCUGAUAAUGCCUUUUUUUUCCAUCCUUAGAAGGUAUGUAUAAGGUACUGAAAGCUUCUUGGUGGCAACAGUGCAUAGAGAGAAAAAAGAUCCUAAUGUGAACCUUUGUAUUUCAGGACAUAUCUCCAUUUGAUUCUGAAUGAUAAUACCUGCUUUGUUUUUAUCCUCUUUCAGAUAUGAGCAAUCUUAUUGUCCCUGUCUGGUGGAUGAUGUGUCUGCAUACGAGACAGAUUCUGCGCACUCGCCUUUUCCUGGUGCCACCAGCAAGAGCAGGAGACUCGAGAUGAUGGAAUGCCAGACAAACCUGAGGCUGAGACAGAACUAAUGAAAGAAAACCAGCGGAAGCAACUUCUUAUGCUGCUACUUGCUUGCACCCACAGAUGAUACCUACAUACUUAAUAUACCUCGUUCAGAUGAAGAUGCCCAGAUGAAGAGAAAUACAGCUUGCAAGACAUGUGAAGUAAUCCUUAGUCUUCACACAGCAUUAGUGAGGUCUCUGCAGAAGCAGAGGCUUCCAGUUUGUGGAAGACAAAAAGGAGAAAUUCAGGUGGAGAUCAGCAAAAAAGAAUCAGAGGUCUGGAAAACAUGACCUACAAGGAAAGACUGAACAAACAAGGGUUAUUUAGAUGGAAGAAGAGAGGAUUAUCAGGGGAAAAAGACAGAGAAAGAAGUGCCACACUUCAAAUAGGUAAAGGUCUCCAGUGAAGUUCAAGGAAAUAAUUUGUUCUCUAUGUCUAUGAUAUAUGUAUGCAAUAAGAUGCAUAAUGAGAUUGCAUAUGCAAUGAGAUGCUUAAAUUACAUCAGAAAAUUCAGGUUACACACCAUGGAAGUUUUCUAACAGUACGAACAGUAAAGGGAUGAAAAGCUGCCUGGGGAAGGUCAUGGCACCUCUGUCUUUGAAGAACUUUAAGAACAAGUUAGAGAGAUGUCUACUAGGAAUAACCCAGGUACAGCUGAUCCUGCUUUGGUAUAUGAUGGUGGAAUAGAGGAACUUAAGGUCUUUUGUAGUUGCUGUGAUUCUAUGAGACUAGUAGCAAUAAUAAUACAUUUGCUUCAUUUUUAUAGACUCCACUUGUGCUUUCCAGACAGUCCCUGAUGCUAAAAGCGCAAAAUUUUCCAAGGGAUAAGCACAGAU
rnacentral:lncRNA from 1 species